rnacentral:tRNA from 1 species
GGCGGUAUAGCUCAGCUGGCUAGAGCAUACGGUUCAUACCCGUAGAGUCGAUGGUUCAAAUCCAUUUACCGCUACCA